AAUGUUUCUCUCCAGUGUGGAUCGCAUGAUGAUUAGUGAGGCUUGAACGCAUACUAAAAGCUUUGCCACAUUCAUUACAUUUGAAAGGUUUCUCUCCAGUAUGGAUUCUGUGAUGUUGUACAAGAUGUGAAUUUUGACUGAAUGCUUUGUCACAUUCAUCACACUUAUAAGGUUUCUCACCGGCAUGAAUUAUCAGAUGUUGGGCAAGGUAUGAAUUGCGACUGAAGACCUUGCCACAUUCAUUACAUUUGUAAGGUUUCUCUCCAGUGUGGAUUCUCUGAUGUUGUGCAAGGUGUGAAAUAUGAUGGAAGACCUUUCCACAUACAUUACAUCUGUAAGGUUUCUCUCCAGUAUGAAUGAUCAGAUGUUGUACAAGGUAGGAAUUGCGACUGAACACCUUGCCACAUUUGUUACAUUCGUAAGGUUUUUCUCCAGUAUGAAUUGUCCGAUGUUGUGCAAGGUGUGAAAUUUGAUUAAAGACCUUGCCACAUUCAUUACAUUUAUAUGGUUUCUCUCCAGUAUGAAUCCUGCGAUGCUGUGCAAGGUGUGACAUAUUAUGG
rnacentral:lncRNA from 1 species